CUGUAGUUGAGUCGAUAAAGAAUCAAUUUGGGCAUAAAAGUUCUGCACCUGAGCGUCCACUUAUACCAACAUAUCAAGUUCCCUCAUGAAGAGCCACGUUAUUCUUGUUUCAUUGACUCUGAGGCAACUGGGGUUAAUACAGGAAUAAAUCUUAAUAUCGUUUGUGUCAAUUGAUGUUCACAUUAGCAAAAAAUGCAAGUAAUAUAUGUAGAACUUGUCUUUUUACAUACUGAAUUUGUCGUGUUGUAGUCUGCAGUGAUUAUUAGCUAUAAGACUCCAGCUGUUGAGAUGAAUACAGUGAGGGACUAUAGAGAUUUACCGGCAGAAUCAAUGUUCCUUUAUGCUCUAAACCAGAGGUUCUUUAAAAUAGCUCGUAGAAAAGAUCCACCCUUCAUCUCAUGCUCAACUUCCGCAGAUGUUCUAUUUAAUCCCUUGAAGGCGUACAUGAUGACUUCAUCUUGUAAAGAAAAGGGAACAAUUCAGGCCCUAGAGUCGAUCCUGAUUGAGGUUGCCAGGGUACGGCUGCAUGGGUUUUCAGAACGAGAAGUGUCUAUAGUUCGAGCUUUACUGAUGUCAGAGAUUGAAUCUGCAUAUUUGGAACGCGAUCAAAUGCAGUCAACUAGCUUGUGAGAUGAAUAUUUACAGCAUUUUCUCCGUAAUGAACCUGUUAUUGGGAUUGACUAUGAGGCUCAACUCCAGAAGACUCUUCUACCUUAUAUAAAAGCAGCAGAGAUAUCCAAAUAUGCUGAGAAGUUACAAACAUCAUGCAGCUGUGUCAUUAAGACAAUUGAACCACGAGCUUCUGCAAUAGUAGAAGAUCUGAAAAAUGUUGUAUCUAAAAUCAGUGCUCUUGAGGAAGAAAGAAUCAUUUCUCCAUGGGAUGAAGAACAUAUUCCAGAAGAAAUUGUUAGCACAAAACCUAAUCCAGGGAAUAUUGUGCAGCAAUGUGAAUAUUCAAAUAUUGGAGCUACUGAAUUGAUUCUAUCAAAUGGCAUGAGAGUUUGCUAUAAGAGUACAGACUUUCUUGAUGAUCAGGUACAACUCUUUGACAGCAAUGCAAUAUCUGUGAGUUCAGAACUUAUCCAAGGAAACACUGUCUAGAUGUCCCUCAGUUCUUUGUACUUGAAGUUAUGAACGCAAGACAAUAUUCAUCAUUGUAAUGGAUCUCUGAUUUGUACUGGUAGGGAAAACGAAUGGUAUCUUCUACAAGUCUUAAAUGCGAUGACCUCACAGGACUGCCAUUCAUUUUUCCUAGAACCAUAAUAAGAGAAGUGGUACGCAGCCCUAUGGUGGAAGAACAAUGCUCUGUCCAGCUUUGCUUUCCUGUGGAGCUGAAUAAUGGAACCAUGGUAGAAGAUAUUCACGUUGUUGGUUUCCUGAGCAAACUUCUUGAAACGAAAAUAAUGCAAGUUCUCCUGUUCUAGCAUGGACAGAUCUACACUGUGGGUGUUUCAGUAUUUCUUGGCGGUAAUAAGCCUUCCAGAACUGCUAAUGUUCGUAGAGAUAUAAGCAUAAAUUUUUCUUGUGAUCCAGAAAUUUUUCUUGGCGGUAAGAAGUUGAAUUGCUUUUCACAGCGGCGAGUUGAAUUUCAGGUGGAAGAGAGGAACUUACGGCUGACGGCGGUGGCGGAAGAUGCGGCGGCAAAGAGUGGUCCGGCUAUAUAGUGGAGCUGACAGAGUGAUGCUUUGGAACGAAGAGCAAGGAAAAGGAACCGGCGGUUGUGAGGUUCUACACUGACAGAACAUGUCUCCAAUUUUAAGAAAAUAGUGUUAUUCUUAUUUGAGAAGAAAGAAAAUAGUUAUAAUUCAGAAAUUAAAAAAAUAGUGACUCAAUUUUUCCAAAUGACA